rfam:Brachypodium distachyon strain Bd21 chromosome 5, whole genome shotgun sequence.
CUUGUACUCCCUCCGUCCUAUAUUAAGUGACGAAAUAUUACAUGUACCUAAACGUUUUUUAUGUAUAGAUACAUUCAUAUUUGAACAAAUUUGAGUCACUUAAUAUGGGACGGCUGGAGGGAGUAUAUA